GAUGAACGCUGGCGGCGUGCCUAAUACAUGCAAGUCGAACGCUGGAACUCUAGCUUGCUUGCUUGAAGGAGUGGCGAACGGGUGAGUAAUACAUAAGCAACCUACCCACGAAGACUGGGAUAAUCUCUGGAAACGGGGACUAAUACCGGAUAGGUAAUCGGAAGGCAUCUUCUGAUUAUUAAAGGUUAAAAACACUGGUGGAUGGGCUUAUGGCGCAUUAGUUAGUUGGUGAGGUAACGGCCCACCAAGACGAUGAUGCGUAGCCGGCCUGAGAGGGUGAACGGCCACAUUGGGACUGAGACACGGCCCAGACUCCUACGGGAGGCAGCAGUAGGGAAUUUUAGGCAAUGGGGGAAACCCUGACCGAGCAACGCCGCGUGAGUGAUGACGGCCUUCGGGUUGUAAAGCUCUGUUGUAAGGGAAGAACGGUAGAUAGAGAAUAUCUAAAUGACGGUACCUUACCAGAAAGCCACGGCUAACUACGUG
rnacentral:rRNA from 1 species